CCAACCUUGGGGAUGCAACACCCCAGGAUGUGUAAUCAAGAUGGAGUCGCAAACCCCUCCUUCAAUAUGAAUUCUCCAGAAGAAAUUACGCUGUUAUCCCCGUGGUAACUUUCUCCCUUAAUCGCCUACAUUAAUUCAGCGGAUCCUUUUAAUUAAACUCACACGUCAGUCUUACUUUAAAUGCAAUAUACUAAUUAACCUAAAAUUAGCAAUUUAAUUUACUUUAAAAGAGGAAGCUCCAAAUAUUCCUCCGUUUUCCCCCACUAAAAACACCUCAAAAAUUAGUUCAAUACAUCCUAUUGUUUUUCCUAUUCUCAAGUUUAGUUAAAGCUCAACGGGGUCUUCUCGUCCCAUAGCCAAAUUUAGGCUUUUUCACCUAAAAAUUAAUUUCUAUAUAAUCCUCAGGAGACAGCUUAGUCCACGUCAAACCUUUCAUUCCAGCCCUCAAUUAAAAGGCAAAUGAUUAUGCUACCUUUGCACAGUCAGGGUACUGCGGCCGUUU
rnacentral:rRNA from 1 species